CCUACGGGAGGCAGCAGUGGGGAAUAUUGGGCAAUGGGCGCAAGCCUGACCCAGCAACGCCGCGUGAAGGAAGAAGGCUUUCGGGUUGUAAACUUCUUUUCUCAGGGACGAAGAAAGUGACGGUACCUGAGGAAUAAGCUACGGCUAACUACGUGCCAGCAGCCGCGGUAAAACGUAGGCGGCAAGCGUUAGCCGGAUUUACUGGGUGUAAGGGGCGUGUAGGCGGGACUGCAAGUCAGAUGUGAAAACCACGGGCUCAACCUGUGACCUGCAUUUGAAACUGUAGUUCUUGAGUACUGGAGAGGCAGACGGAAUGCGUAGUGUAGCGGUGAAAUGCGUAGAUAUUAGGAGGAACACCAGUGGCGAAGGCAGUCUGCUGGACAGCAACUGACGCUGAGGCGCGAAAGCGUGGGUAGCAAACAGGAUUAGAUACCCGGGUAGUC
rnacentral:rRNA from 1 species